AAAAGAAAAAGAACAAAGUGACUUGCAUAGGCAAAUUAUUUAUAUAUUUGUUUAUUUUAUGGCAUUUUCUUAGUUGUUUUUUUUUUGUUUUGCUAUUU
rnacentral:ribozyme from 13 species